AAAACAACAAAAAAAGAUAAACAAAAAAAAAAAAAAAGAGAGAGAGAAAAGAAAAAAGAGAAAAUGAAACAGACCAUUCCAGAUGGUGAUCUACCUUUCCCUACCUAUCAAAAGGAGCUCUAAUCUCUAAAUAAUAAUGGUAUUGGUACUUUUAUAAUGAUGUACAAUCCAAUGUUUAAAAUUAUACCACUUCAGUUUGGUUUGAUCAUAUAAAUUUUCAACAGAUGUCUUAAAAUUUAGAAGCAGGCUGAUUAGUUUGGAACCAGACUUCAAGUAGCGCUAACAUUUGGUGAAUAAGACAACUUCAUAUUACAUUUUGGAUGUAUGAAAGAAAACUUGACCAUUUGAAGAUGUAUGAAUAAAGAAAUGUACUAUAGAUACUACUUUAGGAAAACACUGUUUGUAGUCGUGAAAGAUGCCAAAUUGGCAGAGGCUCACGUUUCUUCUCUUUACACCAAACAGCAGAGAGAGAACAUCACUGCCUGACUUUUAGCUUUGUGACUACAUGAGCAAGCCUUGUCCUGUUGGAGGCGACUGUUAAUACCAUCACCCUGUCACUCGGUUUGCCCUUUUCCAAUCUGAAUAGAUGUUUACAUAUUCUAUGGUGACCAUUUUAUCUUUCCAGUUCUGUACUAGUACAUCUCAGUCACGGGUAUCAAAUGUGUCAUCUUUCUGAACUUAGAAAUACACAAUGUUGUCUUUCCUUAUUUUAUAGCAAUUUAAUGUGUAAAAUACCUUAAGGAACAAGGCCUUUUGCUUUCCUAAUGACAUAUAUUACAUCUCAGCCAAACUGAGAAUUGUAUCUGAGAAAUCUAUAUAAAGCCAUGAGAGCAUUAAUUGAACAGUUUAGAAUGAAGAAAAUGAAUUAAAAAGUUAAAAAUAAGUUUGGCUUUAAUUUUUCUUAUUUUUAGGAUGUAUUUAUUGAAUUAGGAUAACCAGUAAAAAUGAUUUUGAGAAGACUAUAAAGUACUUUUUACAUAUUGUAAUUAAUUUGUCUGUUCUUGUGAGUGUAUUAAUUGAUAUAAUUGCUAGGGCUAUUUAGUCCAGUAAACUGUUGUUCUUAACUCUUCAAAAACAAGGAAAAUAAUUUUACUUCUUUUCAAGUAAUAAAUGAUGAUCUAUGGGUUCUAAAAUUGAACAUCUACUAAAUUUGUCUAAUUUACACAAUUUUCAUCAUUUGUAAUCAAGACAUCAAAGACAAUCUUACAAGCAAGGGGAAAUAGUGUUACGUGUUCUUUUUUAAAGAUUAGUUCUCAGCCGCUUUAAAAGUAUAUGUACUAGUAACAAGCAAUAUAGCUUAAACUUAGAAAGUGGACAAUUAAAAUUCUCAUUCUAAAGAUUAGCAAAAUCCUUUUUAUAGCAUACCAGAAUUAUUUUUUAACUAAGUUAUUUUGAGUAUGCAUUAAUAGAUCCUUACAGGUAUUUGAGAAAUCUAAUACUAUAGUCACUCUUACCCAGGAAAACCCAAAUUAUAUUGCGUCUGCUUUUGUUUUCUUUCUUUUGAAAAGUUGUACUGAGUCAUAAUUUCUUACACAAAGCUGGUAUCUUACAAACACUUUUUCCUCUUGAGUGUGCAUUGUGAUUGUCUUCAUGAAUAAUAAAAUGUAACAAAAUCAUUAGUCAUGUUAUAAAUUAUCUGUCUUGAUCCACAUUGACUUACACAUGCAUGGUUAAAGGACAAGCAUAUAUUUUAAGUAAUUAUUACCUAAGAGCCUACAAGAUAUUUUGUUCACCCCACACACAAUUUUUUUUGUUGUUGUUGUUGUUUUUUAAACAAAUUGUCAGCCAUGAGGAAUUUGUACCAGAAUAGUUGUUAUUUUUUAUUUUCAAACAAGUCUUACAGUAGUAGUGUUGUAGCUGCUUAAGUUAGAGCCAAAGAACAUGGUCUGAAGAGUCCAUAACUGCCAGUAACUCUUUUGAUGGAUUAAUUGGUGAAUGCUACAUAUUGUCACCUUAAAUUUAUUUUGCCAUUCCUUUUUUCUUUUGCUAAUGAAUAAAAAAAGCAAAACAAAAUGGAAUUUGCCCCUGGGAAUCAGAAGUUAAGUUGAUGUCUCCUUAAUUAAGAUCAGUGUAUUUCUUUGAAAAUUGUUGGGCGAAUCAGUUGGUCAGUUACAUUUAAGUCCUUAUCCAUUGUUUAUGGGGAGUCUUCUUUAAAUGUGUUCCCGGAUAAACUUGUAGUGGAGCUCUGUGUACAUAAAUGUACAGAAUCAUUUUUGUGUAAUUGAAUGGAGCAGGUUACCUCUGCAUGACUGCAUUAUGGAAGCCUUUUAUAUUAUCUUUAUAUUUUUCAAUAUACUUAGAUUUUACACUAUUGGUCGCUCUAGUCAUGCUAUAUUUGUUUUUUUUAAUAGAAUUUAUAAAUAUUUAUGCUCAGAAUACAGAUCAAUUAAAUAUUUUUGGUCUUGUUUACAAGAUACUACUUUAAAGAGAUGUAGUCCCCUCAAGUGUCUUAGGAAACAGUCAUUGGUGCUAUAAGAUCUUUCAGGGUCAUUGAACCUGUUGUCUAAUCUUUGCUAGGCUUUAAUCUAUUAUUGCUUACAAUAAUCCAGCUAGCUGCAGAAUUAUAAAGUGGUAUAUGUUGAAUCGGGGUAAGAGCCCAGCCCCAUUAGAGAACACCUAAUAAUUUAAGAAAAUGAUGCAGAAUGACUGUAUCCUUAUUUGUGCCCAGCUUCUCCCAAAAGAAAAUAGUUUAUUUUGAUAAGAGGAAGGCUAUUUCAUUUGGUUAGAAUUUUAAAAUGAUAUAUUCAAGCAUGGAUUUUCCCUCAUAUUUGAAAUUGAAAACUUUUCUAGGCCUAAAAUAAUUAUGUAAUUCUGCUCUGCUUUAAAUUCCCAUCUGUCCUUUACUCAACUGAAGGCAGAGUAUUUCUUACAGAUAUUCACAGAAUAUUUGAGUUACAAAGAAAUGAGUUGUAUUGUACAAGUUUUCCCUUGAUGUGUACUUUUUAUUUUGCCCCCAAGAUUCUAUUCUAGCACCUUAGUGAAUGUUCUUAAGAUACAGUUAGGUUAUCAGCAAAGCAUUCAUACAUGUUUACUUUUGAUUCUCGGAAUCCUAAACCUGUAAUAAUACUUCAGAACAUACUGUCUGGCACAAGAUUUCCUUUAAUAAGUGAUUUAUUUUAACUCAGUUUCUAUGGACUGUUGUUGAAUCUGAAAACACCAAAGGAGUUUUUUCUUGUCUGAAGACUGGGUUGUUCCAGUGGUUAGUACCUGUGCCCAUAAUUAUCCCAUUUCAUGAAUGCGUGUUGGCAUGGGGGAAAUUCCCUGCUCUUUGAGUGGAGCGAAAGUAACUGGUUAAGCUGUAGCAGCUUCCUUGUUUAUUUUUAAAAGUGAUGAUAAAACUUGAACUGAAAAGGUAAAACUUGAACUAGAAAAUUACUCUUGUAUGCACAGAAUGUUUAUAGUGACUGUGUUUUUGUGGGUUGUCAACACUUCUAUUAUUUAUAGUUGAAUUAUGUUGUUUUGUUUAUUAAAUAUCCAUGUUUAUUAUUUUUAUAUUUUGAAACUUUUAAAAAUAAAAGUCUUAAUAAAAACA